GACGAACGCUGGCGGCGUGCUUAACACAUGCAAGUCGAACGGAAAGGCCCUGCUUUUGUGGGGUGCUCGAGUGGCGAACGGGUGAGUAACACGUGAGUAACCUGCCCUUGACUUUGGGAUAACUUCAGGAAACUGGGGCUAAUACCGGAUAGGCGCUCCUGCUGCAUGGUGGGGGUUGGAAAGUUUCGGCGGUUGGGGUUGGACUCGCGGCUUAUCAGCUUGUUGGUGGGGUAGUGGCUUACCAAGGCUUUGACGGGUAGCCGGCCUGAGAGGGUGACCGGCCACAUUGGGACGGAGAUACGGCCAAGACUCCUACGGGAGGAAGCAGUGGGGAAUAGUGCACAAUGGGCGGAAGCCUGAGGCAGCAACGCCGCGUGCGGGAUGACGGCCUUCGGGUUGUAAACCGCUUUCGCCUGUGACGAAGCGUGAGUGACGGUAAUGGGUAAAGAAGCACCGGCUAACUACGUG
rnacentral:rRNA from 1 species